rnacentral:misc_RNA from 1 species
AUAUCUCAACCUUCUCGGUUUCUUCUGGACACCGAAGGAGGCUUGGACUUUGGAGGCCUUUGCUGGCGUCUCUCUCUUCUGAAACCCAGCUCCUCUUAAAUGAAUUAGCGGGGUCCUCUUUGCUGAUCCUCGACGUGUGAUAAGAUGUUUCCAUGUCUUGGUUUCUGGCUCUGUUGCUCCUGGGACCCGCUUCUAACCGUCUCAACCUUGCAUCGAGACAAUGUUUGAGCGCGUCUCCCUUCUCGGGAAAUGCUCUCAACCCCACGAAC